GGAUUCGUUAAGAUACUCCUCACCACAGAUGGAACAUAAUAAGGGGCGACAACAAACGCUUUUUAUCUUCAGAACAAAUGUUAGGGUGUGUGGGUGAAUGCCAACUACUAGCUUAUCACCGAGCUUGACUUUAUGAGGUGGACGAAGGCAAUUAGUAUGAAAAGAUUGAUCACAUUCACUACAAUGGUAGAGCCAAUAAUUUGGAUUUAUUUCUUCUUCGCAAAUUUCGCAAUAUAUUACGCCUUCAUGAGGGAAUGGAGG
rnacentral:lncRNA from 1 species